GCCUGGGUGGCUCAGUUGGUUGAGCGCCAGACUUCAACUCAGGUCUGAUCUCUCGGAUCAUGGGUUCGAGCCCCACAUCAGGCU
rnacentral:tRNA from 1 species